GAGGGAGGAAGGGAGCCCUCGGUGCGGCCCUGCUCCGCCUCUACCCUGCUUUCCGGGAGCGCCGCAGCCGGGGCCGGGAGCAGGGACGGGCGGCGGAGGCGGCCCUCGCCGCGCCGCGACCAUGGAGCCCGACCAGCUACGCCUUUCUGCGGCCGCACAUGGCCAUGGAGGCUAUGAUUCUGAUUUUAGUGAUGAAGAGAGUGGAGAGAAGUCUCUGCAAAAGACUAAAAGAAUACAGGAAGAUGCCCUUCUGAUGAAGCCAUUCCAAAAAGCAAAACAAGGCAGUGUGGUUCACAGACAAUUUGCAGCUGAAGAAUGUGAUAGGGAAGAAGCAAGAAAAAGAAGAUUUCACUUGAUAUCGAUGGAUGCUUAUGAAAGACAUAAAAAGUUUGUGCAUGACUACAUUUUAUACUAUGGUGGCAAAAUAGAGGAUUUCCGAAGAUCUGGAGCAAAUGACAAGACGGAUCUUGAUGUUAUUAGAGAAAACCAUAGGUUCCUGUGGAAUGAAGAAGAUGAAGCAGACAUGAAUUGGGAGAAGAGGCUUGCAAAGAAGUAUUAUGACAAAUUGUUCAAAGAAUACUGUAUAGCAGAUCUCAGCAGAUACAAAGAGAAUAAGUUCGGAUUUAGAUGGCGACAUGAGAAAGAAGUAAUUUCAGGAAAAGGUCAGUUUUCCUGUGGAAAUAAACACUGUGAUGAGAAUGAAGGCCUGAAGAGCUGGGAGGUGAAUUUUGGUUACGUUGAACAUGGUGAAAAGAGGAAUGCACUCGUAAAAUUGAGACUAUGUCCAGAAUGUUCCCACAAACUAAACUUCCAUCACCGGAGGAAAGAAGUCAAAACAUGCAAGAAAAGAGGCACAGCUGAACAGAGCUCUAAGGAGCCGAAAAAUAAGAAGACAAAAUUGUCUCGUUCAGCAAAAAAGAAGUCCAAAAAAAAGAUCCAUAAAGAUCACGUUUCUUCAGACGAUUCAGAUAAUUCUGAUAAAGAUUCAGAUGACAGCAGUGCUGAAGAUGGUCCUUCAGAAGCUGACUCUAGGAAAGGUCCUCCAGGAGAAGGAGAUGAAAAAUCACGGUUAGUUUGAUGUAGUGGACUUGCAGCUACUGAAGCGUACAGGGUCCAUUCAGAAUUGCAAAGACAGAGUUGUCCCAAGUGUUUCAGGAAGAGGAGUUUCAUGAGUAUUUUCAAGAUUUAUUUCUCUAAAACUUGUAACUGAUUUUCUUCAUGAGUUGUCAAGAUGGAAGUCUGGAAAUCCAGUUAUAAUUUUCCAGAGACCCCUAUCUGCCAUCAAACCUUUUCUACAGUCACUCAUAUGGACCAUUUGGGUGGAUUUUCUUUGUAGAAGGCUUCAAAUCUAAAAACUUUGUUUCUUGUAGUAGGGUGCAUACUCUUGAAACAAGAGAAAUAAUUUUUCAGUUCAGUGCAAAAUAUAUAUGGCACCCAAACAAACAAGAAUAUAGUUUAUUAACAUUGCAACAAGGAAGUUCACUGCUUUUAUUUGAUCCCAAAAUUCAGUUAUUGCCAGAUUUUUGUAAAGGAGCAUUUUGUAAGAUUGUGUGAGUAGUUUAAAGCCAUACACGUUAAUAUAUUUAUAUUUUUAAUUUAUUAAACAAGAAUGAAUAGCCUUAAAUUUAUUGGUUACUUAGACUUUAAUAUUUGGGUAUUAAUCUCUGUAAAUAUUUUCAAAUGCUAUUGAAGAAUCUCAAAUUUUGUCAAAUAUGUGUUCUGCUUGAAUUAAGUAAACCAUAUCUGAAAUCUCUCCUACUCCUUUAAAAAGUUCAGGUUUUUGUGACUUUCUUUUAAAUUUUAAAGUUGUAAAGUGAUGUGUCUUACAAUUCCACCUAUAAAAGUAUGUUUGGUUGGUGAAAUUUUUGGUGUAAAAAAUAACAUGAGGCUUUCCACUGGAGAUGUAUGUGACUUCUAUAUUAUCUGUGGUUUCUGAUCUCCUUCCCAUUGAUUGAAUGUUAAUCCUUCUUUCACGUGUAAUCCUAAAUAUACAAAUAAAGCAUGUAUAUUGCUUGAGAAACA